rnacentral:rRNA from 1 species
GACGAACGCUGGCGGCGUGCCUAAUACAUGCAAGUCGAGCGAUGAAGAUUGGUUCUUGCACCAAUUUGAAGAGCAGCGAGCGGGUGAGUAACGCGUGGGGAAUCUGCCUUUGAGCGGGGGACAACAUUUGGAAACGAAUGCUAAUACCGCAUAACAACUUUAAACAUAAGUUUUAAGUUUGAAAGAUGCAAUUGCAUCACUCAAAGAUGAUCCCGCGUUGUAUUAGCUAGUUGGUGAGGUAAAGGCUCACCAAGGCGAUGAUACAUAGCCGACCUGAGAGGGUGAUCGGCCACAUUGGGACUGGGACACGGCCCAAACUCCUACAGGGGGCAGCAGUAGGGAAUCUUCGGCAAUGGGCGAAAGUCUGACCGAGCGACGCCGCGUGAGUGAAGAAGGUUUUCGGGUCGUAAAACUCUGUUGGUAGGGAAGAACGUUGGUGAGAGUGGAAAGCUCAUCAAGUGACGGUAACUACCCAGAAAGGGACGGCUAACUACGUG